CCUACGGGAGGCAGCAGUGGGGAAUAUUGCACAAUGGGGGAAACCCUGAUGCAGCGACGCCGCGUGAGUGAAGAAGUAUUUCGGUAUGUAAAGCUCUAUCAGCAGGGAAGUGAAUGACGGUACCUGUGUCAGAAGCCCCGGCUAUCUACGUGCCAGCUGCCGCGGUAAUACGUAGGGGGCAAGCGUUAUCCGGAUUUACUGGGUGUAAAGGGAGCGUAGACGGCGAAGAAAGUCUGAGGUGAAAGCCCGCGGCUCAACCGCGGAACUGCUUUGGAAACUUUUUUGCUGGAGUACCGGAGAGGUAAGCGGAAUUCCUAGUGUAGCGGUGAAAUGCGUAGAUAUUAGGAGGAAC
rnacentral:rRNA from 1 species